UACGUAGGGGGCAAGCGUUGUCCGGAUUUAUUGGGCGUAAAGCGCACGCAGGCGGUCUGUCAAGUCCCAAGUGACAGUCAUCGGCUUAACCGAUGAAGGCCUUGGGAAACUAGCAGACUUGAGAGCAAUAGAGGGACACGGAAUUCCGGGUGGAGUGGUGAAAUGCGUAGAUAUCCGGAGGAACACCAAAGGCGUAGGCAGUGUCCUGGAUUGUAUCUGACGCUCAGGUGCGAAAGCUAGGGGAGCGAACGGG
rnacentral:rRNA from 1 species